UACGGAGGGGGCUAGCGUUAUUCGGAAUUAUUGGGCGUAAAGGGCGCGUAGGCGGUCCGGUAAGUCAAAGGUGAAAUCCCUCGGCUCAACUGAGGAACUGCCUUUGAAACUGUCGGGCUUGAGGCCGGGAGGGGGUAGCGGAAUUCCCAGUGUAGCGGUGAAAUGCGUAGAUAUUGGGAGGAACACCGGUGGCGAAGGCGGCUACCUGGACCGGUUCUGACGCUGAUGCGCGAAAGCGUGGGUAGCAAACAGG
rnacentral:rRNA from 1 species